CCCUUAGAUGUCCUGGGCCGCACGCGCGUUACACUGAUGCAUUCAACGAGCUUAUAACCUUGGCCGAGAGGCCUGGGCAAUCUUGUUAACGUGCAUCGUGAUAGGGAUAGAUUAUUGAAAUUAUUAAUCUUGAACGAGGAAUUCCUAGUAAACGCAGAUCAUCAAUCUGCAUUGAUUACGUCCCUGCCCUUUGUACACACCGCCCGUCGCACCUACCGAUUGGAUGGUCCGGUGAAGCCUCGGGAUUGUGGUUCUUGCCGCUUUAUUGUGGCGUGACCGCGAGAACUUGUCUAAACCUUAUCAUCUAGAGGAAGGUGUAGUCGUAACA
rnacentral:rRNA from 1 species